AUUUGGGAACUCCCUGUCUCCAGACCGCACAGGCAAGAUGAUCUGACUGGAAACAGAAGAGAAUCCUAGGGAAGCCAAGGAGGGAAAGACCUGCACCAUGAUGUUCCUGCAGGGUCCACCUUCCCUGCUCCUACGCUGGGUCUAAACCCAAGACUGGGGUUGGGGAGGCAGCUCCCAGAGCAGAGAGGAGUACUCCCCAACACACACUCCUCCCUGGAGCGGGCCUGGGCAGCACCAGGACACUGGAGCUUGGCCUCUUCCAGCCCUGCUACCGCUGGGAAGGAGACACAAGGCAGAGGCCACAGACAACCCAGCGGAAGGCUCCCUGCAGGCUUGUCCGAGUGAGGCCCAGGGAGCUGCUGACUGACUCGAAGGUGACCUUCGGCUGGAAUGAGGAGGCCGUGGCACUGACCUAUUCAGGGACUGAUGACAGAGGACCAGAGGUGACUGGGUGACUCAGGAAAUGCCUGCAUUAUUAGCUCAGUCUCCACACAGUUUUUCCAAGGCUGAAGCGUGCUGUCACUUACCAACCUGUCUGCUAAGCAGCUGAGGUCCCGGUAUCAGAGGCCCCAGAUUCAUUCCAUUUGAGGCCUGGACUCCUUGCUGAUUCCAUGUUACCGGCAGGGACAUUGGGCGUCAAACCACUGGGGAAUGUUUCAUCUUUGUUGCUAAAAGUUUUUCUUUCCAACUUCUGUGAACUGAUCAGUUUCCUGGAGGCCAAAAAGAGCUCCCAAGACACUUACAGCACCUUUCCAAGCUCUGAGGCCUUCAUGCUGGCUGCCUCUCUGAAGAAAACAGAUAAGAGGAAGUCUCCUUGGAAACAAGGCAGCAGCCCAAAGGAAACCCGUGCCCCAGGGGGCCCUGCAGAGCACAGAGACAACAUCCUUUGUCUCUAAGGAGGCAGGUAACACAGAGAAGAGAAGUGGCCCAGGACACACAGGGCUGCAGGAACUAGUCCUGAUAACAGGGAAUGCACAGGGCGCAUUACAGGCCGGGCACGUGACUAGCAUUUUCCCCUUAGCCUUUCAGCAAUCUCAUAAGGGAGAGGAUGCUCUAUCCAUUUUAAAGAUAAAAUGCAGGCAGUUAAGUGACUCAACCAGGGCCACAGCUGCUAGGACUUGGUGGAGCUGGGAUUUGAGCCCACACACCUGAGUCAGAAGCCUGCUUCCAUUUCCCCUGUGGCUCUCAAUGGGGCUGCAUCCCCCCCUAGGGGGCUGUUUUGGAAGUUUGUAGUUUGUCACAAACACUGGAAGGCCAACAACUCCUGGGACAGCCCCCAACAAAGAAUGGUUCCAUGCCCCUCAGUGGUUCAAUGGUUCCAUGCCCCUCAGUGGUUCAAGGGUUCCAUGCCCC